rnacentral:rRNA from 1 species
UACGGAGGGUGCGAGCGUUGUCCGGAAUCACUGGGCGUAAAGAGCGCGCAGGCGGUCGGUCAAGUCGCGUGUGAAAGCCCCCGGCUCAACUGGGGAGGGUCACGCGAUACUGAUCGACUCGAAGGCAGGAGAGGGUAGUGGAAUUCCCGGUGUAGUGGUGAAAUGCGUAGAUAUCGGGAGGAACACCAGUGGCGAAGGCGACUACCUGGCCUGUUCUUGACGCUGAGGCGCGAAAGCUAGGGGAGCAAACGGG